UCCCUGGUGGUCCAGUGGUUAAGACUUUGCCUUCCAAUGCAGGGGGUGCAGGUUUGAACCCUCCUCAGGGAA
rnacentral:tRNA from 1 species